rnacentral:rRNA from 1 species
AGAGUUUGAUCCUGGCUCAGGACGAACGCUGGCGGUGUGCUUCACACAUGCAAGUCGAACGAGGUAGCAAUACCUAGUGGCGGACGGGUGAGUAACGCGUGGGAAUCUGCCUUGAGAUGGGGGAUAGCUGGCCGAAAGGCUAAUUAAUACCGCAUAAGUGCAUAACUCGACAGGGUCAUGCAUAAAAGGAGCAAUCCGUC